UGGGGAAUUUUGGACAAUGGGCGAAAGCCUGAUCCAGCAAUGCCGCGUGUGUGAAGAAGGCCUUCGGGUUGUAAAGCACUUUUGUCCGGAAAGAAAUCCUUGGCUCUAAUACAGUCGGGGGAUGACGGUACCGGAAGAAUAAGCACCGGCUAACUACGUGCCAGCAGCCGCGGUAAUACGUAGGGUGCAAGCGUUAAUCGGAAUUACUGGGCGUAAAGCGUGCGCAGGCGGUUUGCUAAGACCGAUGUGAAAUCCCCGGGCGUCAACCUGGGAACUGCAUUGGUGACUGGCAGGCUAGAGUAUGGCAGAGGGGGUAGAAUUCCACGUGUAGCAGUGAAAUGCGUAGAGAUGUGGAGGAAUACCGAUGGCGAAGGCAGCCCCCUGGCAAGUACUGACGCUCAUGCACGAAAGCGUGGGGAGCAAACNGGAUUAAUACCCUGGUAGUCCACGCCCUAAAANGAUGUCAACUAGUUGUUGGGGGAUUCAUUUUCCUUAGUAACGUAGCUAACGCGUGAAGUUGACCGCCUGGGGGAGUACGGUCGCAAGAUUAAAAACUCAAAUGAAUUGAC
rnacentral:rRNA from 1 species